rnacentral:rRNA from 1 species
AGAGUUGAUCAUGGCUCAGGAUGAACGCUGGCGGCGUGCUUAACACAUGCAAGUCGAACGAAGCACUAGACAGAACCUUCGGGUGACGUAUGGUGACUGAGUGGCGGACGGGUGAGUAACGCGUGGGUAACCUGCCCUGUACAGGGGGAUAACAGUUAGAAAUGACUGCUAAUACCGCAUAAGCGCACGAUGGUAGCAUUACCAGGUGUGAAAAACUCCGGUGGUACAGGAUGGGCCCGCGUCUGAUUAGCUAGUUGGCGGGGUAAGAGCCCACCAAGGCGACGAUCAGUAGCCGGUCUGAGAGGAUGAACGGCCACAUUGGAACUGAGACACGGUCCAAACUCCUACGGGAGGCAGCAGUGGGGAAUAUUGCACAAUGGGGGGAACCCUGAUGCAGCAAACCGCCGCGUGAGUGACGAAGUAUUUCGGUAUGUAAAGCUCUAUCAGCAGGGAAGAUAAUGACGGUACCUGACUAAGAAGCUCCGGCUAAAUACGUGCCAGCAGCGGC